GUCUCCAGGCUUAAUGCUGACUCUGUUGCCAGAACACCCAGGCACUUUCCAUCGGCUCCUGUGCCAAGGGUGAGCUUCACUUAGGCAAAGCACACUGUGCAGAGCAGGUGGAGAGUGUAGGGAACGGAGCAACAUGAGUCAGCAGCCAAGCAGAACCUGGGAGGGCUGGCAUCAGGAACUCUGAUGUGUACAAAGCCAGGUGUGGGUGCCUGACGUAAAACCAAACCCUUAGACAACUUUUCUUCAAGCAUUCAAGCCUGUAGAGUGCUUUUGGGUUUUCCUCCUUUCCUGCAGGCGAGUCUGUAGCUGGGUACAGUUCAGGGUUGUGCUCUUGCUGCCGUUCAGCUGCUGUGAACCCACUGGGUUUUAAACUCAUUAGUGCUGUGUGGAACAGCAGUGAAAAUAUUUCCCUGAGUAAAUCAAGCGGCAAAAGGAACCUGAGGCAGGAUUUGCCUCUGCUCUUUCUGAAAUGUAAAAGGAUUCGGACCCAGCACUCACCCUGCUCCUAAGCCUGGACGAGGACAGCGCCAGGGGGGAAGGAGCGGUGGGCGCCCGGGCGGGGAGCAGCCGAGGGCAGGGAGCCGUGCGGCCGCAGCAGCGGAGCGCGGCAUGGCCGUGCCGGGGACAGCUGCCGCAGGGCCACUCGCGCCGUCCUCCUCAGCGGGCAGUUUGGCAAUGGCCGGUGUCAGCGCACCUUUCAAAGCUGCGGUGAAGCCAUGGUCCCUGCACGCCCCGAGACACGGCAGUAUUUCUUGCCCGGACUGCUAAGAGGGUGCAGAGCAGUCCUUCCAAGGCUGGACAGCAAAUGGCAGCAGCGGUAGCUCUCCUCCUGCCACCGAAGCGCGGCACGGCUGCCACACACACAUCCUGCCGGCCGAACAGACCGGGCCGAUUCUGAACUUGGAGUGACCCUGGGUCAGCUGCACCUUCGUACUGUGUGUUACAGGGAAAUGCCACGCAGCAGCACCCCACGACCUGGUGCUUUAGGGAGAUGGCCAUCAAUGAAAAACUCUAAUGAAAAAACAGCUUCCACCAACUCUCUCCAUUAUGUGCUCAUUCUUUUUAUGCUCUCAAACUAGUUUUUUCCCUUACUUUUUUUCUUUUUUUUUUUUUCUUCUUUUUCUUUUUUCUUUCUCCCCUGUUGCUAAUGAGCUCUUGAGAAUUUGAUUUAGCUCCUUGGAAUGACUGCCACUUACUGCUAGAAUGUUAAUCUGUCUAAACCCAUUCAGCUCCUCUUACUUGGAAGUCAAUCACCUGGAGCCUGCAUUUUAAAGAGAUGCUGGCUAAGGCAGUCGCAACAGAGGAGAUGUUUUGGGACAAUUCCCACAGUUGAGAGUAAUCUCGGGAAACUCAUAGCUACUUGACGGCAGACAGUGUUGAAUCCCCGGAAUAAGCAGAACUGGAGCAAACCCUGGCAGAGACCAGAAGGGCAAAUGGAGGGAGACAGGAGGCAGUUGAGCUGCAGCUCCCACACGGGAUGCUGUACUGGUGUGUUUUGGGGGACAACCUUUAGUUAAUGGUGAGAAUAAACCCAAGAAGGGCAUAGGCAAACCAGGUCAGAGGAGGUAUGCCAAGACACAGCUGGAGAUAAAGCUUUAAAGUGUCAGAGGAGAAGUUUGGCUUUCCAGAAGUAAUUAGAGAGAUAAUUCAAUUUGUCUUGUACUGGCCAUUUUUUAAAACCCCUGUUUGGAGGGGGAGAAAAUGCACAAAAAUCCAUAUUAAAUGUAGGAGACAUGGACAUCACUUGGGAUAGUGGAUGAUGUAGUGGAGCUGUGUAUCAGCGCUAUUCUGGAAAUGGGGAGAAGAGUGUUUUACUGUGGUACACCCCAACUCUGUCACUGUCCCUUCAUUGCCUCUGCAGUUCUCUGAUGGCAAACUUUGCAGAGAGAAGUCAUAACAAUUUAACAGCAAGAAAGGUUGUUUUGCUGCUGCUACAGAGGAGCAGACUGCCCCUGUGAUCCCAUGUGAAAAAGCACAUUUUUGGAAUAAGCAAAUGUUCAGAGUCAUUAUUUGCUCUUUCAAUAAAAUCAUUCUUU